AGAGUUUGAUCAUGGCUCAGGACGAACGCUGGCGGCGCGCCUAACACAUGCAAGUCGAACGAGAGAGAAGGAGCUUGCUUCUUCGAUCGAGUGGCGAACGGGUGAGUAACGCGUGAGGAACCUGCCUCAAAGGAGGGGGACAACAGUUGGAAACGACUGCUAAUACCGCAUAAGCCCACGGGUCGGCAUCGACCUGAAGGGAAAAAGGAGCAAUCCGCUUUGAGAUGGCCUCGCGUCCGAUUAGCUAGUUGG
rnacentral:rRNA from 1 species